rnacentral:lncRNA from 1 species
CCUUUUCUUGUGUAGAUGCCAAACCUCUGAAAAUAUCGGGAAUAGCCAGCCCGCCUACAAAGGACAGACAGGACACAGGAGUUGGACCCGUAAGAGCAACACACAUUUGCCCUUAGACCUUAGCUAUACAGCUGUCCUUCGACUCUAUUGUAUGGAAGCUGGGUUCACCGAACCUAGACCCGAAAUCACUUACAUAAAUGAAUCUAAUCUCUUACUUAUGGCUUGGCUCGAGCAAGUACCCUUC